GACGAACGCUGGCGGCGUGCUUAACACAUGCAAGUCGAACGGAAAGGCCCUGCUUUUGUGGGGUGCUCGAGUGGCGAACGGGUGAGUAACACGUGAGUAACCUGCCCUUGACUUUGGGAUAACUUCAGGAAACUGGGGCUAAUACCGGAUAGGAGCUCCUGCUGCAUGGUGGGGGUUGGAAAGUUUCGGCGGUUGGGGAUGGACUCGCGGCUUAUCAGCUUGUUGGUGGGGUAGUGGCUUACCAAGGCUUUGACGGGUAGCCGGCCUGAGAGGGUGACCGGCCACAUUGGGACUGAGAUACGGCCCGGACUCCUACGGGAGGCAGCAGUGGGGAAUAUUGCACAAUGGGCGGAAGCCUGAUGCAGCAACGCCGCGUGCGGGAUGACGGCCUUCGGGUGGUAAACCGCUUUCGCCUGUGACGAAGCGUGAGUGACGGAAAUGGGUAAAGAAGCACCGGCUAACUACGU
rnacentral:rRNA from 1 species